UAAGUAGGGUGCGAGCGUUAAUCGGAAUUACUGGGCGUAAAGCGUGCGCAGGCGGUGAUGUAAGACCGAUGUGAAAUCCCCGGGUUUAACCUGGGAACUGCAUUGGCGACUGCAUCGCUCGAGUAUGGCAGAGGGGGGUAGAAUUCCACGUGUAGCAGUGAAAUGCGUAGAGAUGUGGAGGAAUACCGAUGGCGAAGGCAGCCCCCUGGGUCAAUACUGACGCUCAUGCACGAAAGCGUGGGGAGCAAACAGG
rnacentral:rRNA from 1 species